AUUAAGGAACAAAUAAUUGAUCAGGUUUUGCCAUUCUAGCAAAGAAAAAAAUGUAUCUACUACGAGCGGUUUACUUAAUAAAUCUAUUUUCUUCCAUGGCAUAAAAGCAACACUGUAAACUCUACAUCUACAAAUCCAAGUAUGAUAAAUCAAUUUAUUUGGCAAGAUUAUCAUGUGGUGUAAAUUCCAUGGAGUUGGUGUGUCUCAGUUGUCAGUAAGGCUGCAGUGGUUUAUGCGGCUACACCAAUUAGUAAAGAUGAUGAUAUGAGCCACUAUGUUUCAGACUGAUUAAAAAAAACAACAACAACAACAACAAAAAAAACAGCAACCAUUUGCUUUUAUUUCUCCUCCCUACCCUUAAAAGCAUGCAGCAAACCCCAGGAAAACACCUCCAAGGCCAGAGCCAACCUGAUAACAGCUACACAGUUCCCAGGCUGGAGGUUUCCCUGAGUGCAAGGGUAAAUGCCAGAAACUGGGUAGAAGACAUCAGAGUGCAGAACCUGCAACGGCAGGCACAGCACACAGCGUGCUCAGCACCAGCCCACCCGGACCCUUCCAAACACAUGCGCAAAGUGACAGUCACCAUGGUCCCUGCCUUAUCAAAUGAGUCUUAUCUUUUACAGGAAAGAACGACGGAGGAAAAGAGUUAAAAGUGAAGGAAUUUUGAGCUGCGGAACUUGCCUCCACAAAGCAUACCAAAUCGCUUUAAAAAAGAAAGAAACACAAACAGAAAAAAUAUCCUCCCCCAAAAGCAUCAAACACUUUGAGUUUUAAUCUAUCUGUUUUCCCUUUGCAAUUCUUGAUCUGAAAGGAAAAAUAACUGAUAUAAUUAAAAGGGAUGGAUUGCAUUACAAUCUCAGUUUCAACUUCAGUGAUUAAAGUUUUUAUAAUGCAUUUGGUAUGAUUAAUGACUCACUGUGGGAUUAAUACAAGACUGAGACUUUAAAAAUAUGAACUUUAAUACAGCAAACAUAAUUUGUUUAAAAAAAAAAGACAAGUUGACUCUAUGAAGAAAAUGUACUUUGCUUAUAAACAACAUAAAUCUGUUCAAAUACCAGGAAUCCGUAAUUAUCUUUAAUCUAAGACUCCAAGGCAGAAACCUCUUUGGUUCAGAUAUUCGUUUGUUAUCCUAGAAUCAGUUCCUAAGCAUGCAAUUUUGAUUUACAUACUUAGAUGUUCAAACACAGUUUGGGCUUAAGAGAGCAGAAAUUAGAUUGCUCGUGAUCAUAAUAUUUUACAUUUUAAUAAAAUACAACAUAAAUUAUGUUAAAAUAUAAACCUAAUUUAAGCUAUAUUAGAAACAAAAUUCAUUAACUGAGCAUGCUCUGACAUGGUAUGUGCAAAGAGGCGUGAAUAAUACUUUCUAGCCCUGAAUUUGGCAGGGCUCCAGUAAUGAAGCUAAGCAGAGCCCACAGGGAAUAUUCAUCUUCAGAUCCCAUUACAAACUGAGUUUAAACAUGUUACAGCUGCUAAAACUGGAAACUGCUCCCUCUAUGCAAACUUAGCAAAAUAAUAUGUAGUUGCCAAAUACCUGCUUCCCACUGUAAUAUUACAGUUAAUGUUUAUAUAAUAAAAAGCAUAACUAAGCAGAAUCAGAAAAAAAUAAUCUUGUUCAUACUUGAGGCUGCUAAAUUUCACUCUCAGAGCACAAAUAUUCGUAAAAGCACCGGAUACCUCCCCGCGCUGCACACAGCGCUCCGGACAUCGCUGGAGGCGAGGCCGGGUUUCACACCGGGCUACAUCGACGUCGCCCUGCCACGUGUUAAAUAUUUAAAACCUCUUUUAAUAAAAGCACGUUUUAUGACAAUCCCUGCUCGCACUGCGAGGGGACUGUUUGACUCUGUUUUGUUUCCAUGGGAACCCACUGCCCGUUACGAAUGCCCGCGUCCCGUCAGCAGGCGAGGAGGCUGCCCCGGCCCAUGGCCCACGGUCCACGGCCCCCGGCCCACGGCCCACUGGUGGCCCUCGCUGUGAGGAGGCCGUGUGCCGAGCCCCACAGCCGCGGCGAUGGGCGGCAGGCGGCUGGCGGGCCUCCCACCCAGCCUCGCCUCGUGGGGUGCUGCGGCACGGUGGCUCCUCCUCCUUGUGGUGCACCUCACCAGGACUCAUUAGCUUUGGCGCUAAUUAGCGACCGUGCCUUAAAUUUCCUUUUCUGAUCCGAAGAGUUCACGUGGGAGUACAACAUUUUCAUUUUAGCUAUUUUUCACUGAGCUCAGCAGUUGGCAGUACGACAGCAGUAAAAAUACAUUUCACAUCGCCGGUCAAAGGCCUGGAGCCAGCAGCAGGAAAUCUGGAAUUAAAUGUUUCUUGUAUCUGGAAGGAGGCAUGACUAAGAAUAAAAUAUUCCGGCAUGUCUCCCAUUGACAUCAUCUUGCUUUCUCAAGGGCUCCAAGCCCAACACAAAACAGUGCGCAAGGGAGCCUCUCAGCCACAAGAAUAAUCUUGGAAGGACGUAAAAUACCAAAGCCCAUUACUCGGGAGACGCUGCCCCGUUUCCAUUCUUGGCAAGAAGGUUAAGGAAGCUGUUUGCAAUGGGAAUGGAAAAAGACUUAAAUCUGCUCCGCCAAAUGAAUACAGCCACCAGUUAACCCGUGGAACUCACUGCCAGUGGGUAUCUGGGGGCCAAGGGAUUAGCGAGAUUACGCAAGGAUUAGAUGCUAAUGUAAAUCAUGAGAACACUAAAUGCUUAGAGUUUCAGGAACACUAAGAAGGGACAGGGAACAAAUCACCUUGCUGGUAGGAGUUCAGAAAACACCUCCCUCCUGGGCAUGUUAUGCCACUGUGGGUCUUGCUCCUUCCUUCCUUCCUCUGAAGGCAUUGCUGGAGCUGGCCCAGUUUGAUCGGGAACCGUCUGUUAGGUCCUUGAGAACAGCGGGGCAGAGCUGCCGGCAGCCAGGGGUCUGAAAACAGCCCUGGACAAGUGGCCACCGAGCCAAGGUGGCUCCAGGGAGAGCCCCACACUGCCCCCAGAGCAGGGUGGCCCCAAUUAGUAACCUCAGUUGCAAAAGCCCCAUUCUCUCCCCCUAGAAACUUGGUGGCAAAACAUUCAGUUUUUUGAAGCGACCAGCAGGAAUGCCCUAGCUCUGAUCCCGAGAGAAGGCUUCUCUUUUUUGCAGUGAUGCUCUUUAAAAAGGACAAAUCUUGGGGCAAUGCUGUCGGCGCAAGCAUAGGAAACAAGUCACCUUCAACAGCAAUCAGCUGGUGGGGAUGGACGGGAGCAUCAGGCAGCUCUCCUGGGCACCAGCGACCAAUUCCCCACAGAGAAGAGGCGGGGGAAUAACCCAAGCUCUAAGAUCUCAGCCUAUUUUCUGAACUGGGAAUAUAAAACACAAUGAGGAAAUCAAGCAGUGUGUUCCUCCAGCCUGAUUUCCCCGUGCUGCAUUGUACAAUCCAGGGUUACGAAAGCAAGCCUUGCAUGCUUUUGUGCAGAAUAUAAUAGCAAUAGGAUUAUUUGCAUUUGUCUGAAGUACAAAACUGGCAUGUAUUUUAUCAGCAAAGGCAAAAUAUGUCUGAGUUCAAUUUUGUUCCCAAAGAACUUUCCUUCCUUAAAGAAAUGGCUCUUUCAUCCUUUCAUCAACAACUUUCCUCACAGCCCACUGGGAGUGCUGGUGGGUAAUGAGAAUGGCUCGCUGCUGAAAGGUGGGAACUGCAUUGCUGUAAGAGAAUUCAAAGACACUUUGUUUUAAGUAAACUGGAAAUUAGUGACAUUACAAACACAGCUGUUGAUUUAGCUGCACAGCCAGGUGAUGGAAGCUCAGACACUCUCCAUCCUACGACUCAGCAGGGGGAAAUGAACAACCAUCCCAGAUUUACUGCAUGGGAAAGACUCGAAGGGUGAUGGGGACCGAGAAGCUUCCCCAAGUCACCUACCAAAAUCACGACAAGCCUCUGUUUUAGCCACAGUCACCAUUUUCCAUCUACAGGCAGUCAUGUAUUUUGCCCAAUAGUGCAAAAUGGUCUGCACACACUGCAACGCCCAGCCCCUGUGCUCAAGACAAGCUUACAGAUGUCAUUUUGCACUGCUGGCAGGGUGCAGGUCUCCCAGAGGGAAAUCCUGCUGACCUGGCCUGGGAGCUCAGAGCCACAUCUCCACUGCACAAAGCUGGGCUAACCAUAGCAGCCCCUGCCAUGUUAGCAAAGCCCUGCAGUAAAAUACAAGGUGGAGAUUCCCAGCAGACUUGAGGAAUGUGAGAGGGGACAACUUACUCCUCAGCCCUGGUGCUGCUCCUGCAGAGGAGAGAGGCACAUCUCCCAUUGCACAGCACCCUCCUGGGACUGCUCAGCUCCCAGUAAGAAAAUGGGCCAUGUCUCCACUAGCAGAGCCAUUCCCUACUGCUGGUUGUCACGAAGUGGAGUCACCAAGAGGGACCAACACGCUUGGCCUGAUGCUGACCAAAGAUGCACACCUAGCUCAGAUGCUAGGAGUGCUGGGACCCCGCGUGUGCACGGCCGCAGUGCCCACUGAGAGCCGAUUAACACCAGUACAGGGGGUGCGCGGAUGGGAAGCUCUUCUCUGCCUGGCUGACACCCACCCCAGGGCCAUGGGUAGCACACUGCAUGCCCCAGUCCUGCUGGGACAAAAUCCUGGGUGGAAGGAAGGCUGGGAAACAAUUUCGACCAUGGAGAGAGCCCAUUGGUGUGUAGUCACUGGAAGGAAACGCCGGGUUGCCCAGCACGCUUACCCAGUGACUCCAGUGCUGGCCAGUAAGUCUCCUGGGCUGUAAACCCAGUCCUGACGAAAUUCUGAAAAAACAGCAUGCUCUCAGAUGUUUCGAAUGGACAGUUAAGGAUCUGUUUUAAUGGUAAACAAUUACAUUCCUCUGUCAUCUGAUACUUUUUAAAUUUUGGGGAGGGGGGAAGCUUUCUGAAUUUUCAAUAGUUCCUUUGUUACAGCAUCUGUUACUCACAUAAUUGAAAAGAUGUUUGUUCAGUGGUAUGCUUGAGAGUACAGUUAUUUAAUCUUAAUGAUAAAGCCCUGAGGGCAGAAAAUCAUAAGUAGAAACCUCUUGUUAUUUAU